rnacentral:misc_RNA from 1 species
GCAAACUUGGUCAUUUAGAGGAAGUAAAAGUCGUAACAAGGUUUCCGUAGGUGAACCUGCGGAAGGAUCAUUAUCGAGUGAAGGGCUCUCUAAGAACCCGACCUCCCAACCCUUGUGUUCUUUACCACUUUGCUUCGGUGGGCCCGUCACUGUAGUGACCGCUGAAAGGUUAUAUAUCUUCAAGUAGCCUUUGGGCCUGUGCCUGCCGGGGACACCUAAACACUUGUAAUGAAAAAAGGUUGUCUGAGUUAUAAAGAAAAUAAGUUAAAAAACUUUCAACAACGGAUCUCUUGGUUCCGGCAUCGAUGAAGAACGCAGC